rnacentral:lncRNA from 7 species
AGGCAGGCUGACUCUGCAGGUUGCAACAGGACAUGGCUGUGGAUAAGCCGUAAUUUAGCUCUAAUGUUCAGCACUCGGGCCCUUUAGGAUGCAGAGCUGCUACAGCAAUGUUAAGAUUUUUAUGUGUAGUACAGUACAAAAGCGACCAAAAGAGGGCAACAUAUGAGCCAACAAUGAGAAAUGUAUCCUGACGAGUUUACUGUUCUGUAUCUGUGACACCCUUCCCCCCCUUUCUCUUUUUGAUAGAGCAAGAAAUUUUAGCAGAGCUGGUCAGGAAACAGUGUUUCCAUUAUGUGGGAAAUUCCAGCACUUGGGAAAAAGAAGUAAAGGUGCUGAAGUUUUCACAGAAUGAAAAUUCAGAAAAAAAAAAAAAAUUAUUUGGUGUUGAUGGAAGUGUUCCAAAAACAUCAAAUAGUUCACACACCAGAAAGCCUGGAAGUUAUAGUGACAUUAAAGUAUUUAAUUUAGUAGGGAAAGAGGUUAAAGUAUAUGUUUAUGUUAAAUAUAUGCUACGAACUUCAAAACAAACCGAAAUGAAACAAAUGUUUUUACUUUAUGAAAACAAUGCUAUUACUGUUAUUGAAUGUAAAUGUUACUUGAAUUUGUCUCCAUUAAAAUGUUGUCAAAAUAGGUAUGCUCUCAAAAAGGCUGAUCGAGAACAAGCUGUAUCUUCUGAAAGAAUAAAUUCCCUCUGAACAUAGC